rnacentral:lncRNA from 1 species
CUGAGAUGGAGCCUCCUUGCUGUGCAGAGAAGCUGGACGAGAUGCUGGCAGCCGCCGCAGAGCCAACGCUGAGGCCAGACAUCGCAGACGCAGACUCCAGAGCCGCCACCGUCAAACAGAGACCCACCAGUCGGAGGAUCACACCCGCCGAGAUUAGCUCAUUGUUUGAACGCCAGGGCCUCCCAGGCCCAGAGAAGCUGCCGGGCUCCUUGCGGAAGGGGAUUCCACGGACCAAGUCUGUAGGUAUGGCUGGGCUGUGGGGCUGCAUGGG